GGUCCCAUAGCUCAGUUGGUUAGAGCGUCGUACUAAUACUAUAUCAUUAUAGCAUUGGUCAAUGCGAAGGCCGUGAGUUCGAGCCUCACUGGGACCA
rnacentral:tRNA from 1 species